UGGUUUCUUUCUUCUCCUGUGUCGCUUUCCAAUUUACAGCCUUUUCAACUUCGCAACUCCCGAUUUCCAAAUUGCAGACCCGAAUGAAUAAAGAGAAAAGAAGCCUUUUCUCACUUCCCAAUUUCACACCGCAAUGUUAAUAGAAAACGCAACAGACGACCAAUGUUUUCCUCAGAGGGAGAUCCACCGUUUUAUCCUUGUCUUAACGGGAGAGAUCAAGUGGUUCUGCUCCGAUCCCCGGCUUUAAUCAGUUGAUCUGUUCUAGAGGUUCGUACUUCUAUGUCCUUGAGUUCUAUGGAGACAGGAUCUCAAGUCUUCUGGAUGAAUUGGGAACAUGUGAUGAUCAGAACGUGAUUAAUGACAGAGACGGUUCUUGAACUAUUGAUGUUGUAGAUGAUCGUUCUCAGUUGGGUUUGAUCUUGACUUGGGUGGUCACUCAAUUACCUGACAGACUUCCUUAUUUUUUAUUAAAAAAAAAAAAUUUAGUUUUUCAGUAGUGUAUAAGUAUCAAGUUAUUUACCUGAUUCUGAAUAUAUUUAAAGUUUUUAUGCCGGAUUUUUCAAAGACUUUUUCUGUUUUUAGUUUUUAUUUAUUAUUUUUUCCUUUAUGCGAAAAAGUAACCAACCUGUAACAGACUUGGUUUUUGCUUACCAUUGAAGUUGAUAAAAACAAAUUAACUGAACUGUUGAGAUUUGGAUUUAGAAGCUCAAGAAUGAGAAAUAGUUACAAUCUACUGUUGUUCUGCCUGACAUGUGCACGAGCAUACAUGAGGAAGUUCUUCCUGCCAUGCACACGAGCAUACAUGAGGAAGUUUUAUCUUUUCAAUUGGAAUCAUGGCAUGGCAUUAAUGCAAAUUGGUGUAGUUCUCUGAGACUACACAAUCCUCUGACAUAAUUGAUUUCCACGUAUAUAUGUAUCAAGUGCAACUUUAGAUCUUGUAUAGAUAAAUUUUAUUGAUGGAUAAUUAAUGUAUGAUAAUACCAGUGAUUGAAUGAUAAUGAUAUAUGAUAAGAA